CAGUAGCCACGGUAAUACGUAGGGUGCAAGCGUUGUCCGGAAUUAUUGGGCGUAAAGAGCUCGUAGGCGGUUUGUCGCGUCUGCUGUGAAAACGCGAGGCUCAACCUCGCGCCUGCAGUGGGUACGGGCAGACUAGAGUGUGGUAGGGGAGAUUGGAAUUCCUGGUGUAGCGGUGGAAUGCGCAGAUAUCAGGAGGAACACCGAUGGCGAAGGCAGAUCUCUGGGCCAUUACUGACGCUGAGGAGCGAAAGCGUGGGGAGCGAACAGGAUUAGAGACCCCCGUAGUCCCUGUCUCUUAUAC
rnacentral:rRNA from 1 species